rnacentral:rRNA from 1 species
UACAGAGGGUGCAAGCGUUAAUCGGAAUUACUGGGCGUAAAGCGUGCGUAGACGGUUACAUAAGUCGGGUGUGAAAGCCCCGGGCUCAACCUGGGAAUUGCAUUCGAGACUGCGUAGCUAGGGUGCGGAAGAGGGAAGCGGAAUUUCCGGUGUAGCGGUGAAAUGCGUAGAUAUCGGGAGGAACACCUGUGGCGAAAGCGGCGCACUGGACCACAACUGACGCUGAGGCGCGAAAGCUAGGGGAGCGAACGGG